AUUGAACGCUCGCGGCAUGCUUCACACAUGCAAGUCGAACGGUAACAGGGUGCUUGCACCGCUGACGAGUGGCGAACGGGUGAGUAAUGCGUCGGAACGUGCCGAGUAGUGGGGGAUAACGCAGCGAAAGUUGUGCUAAUACCGCAUACGUACUGAGGUAGAAAGUGGGGGACCUUCGGGCCUCAUGCUAUUCGAGCGGCCGACGUCUGAUUAGCUAGUAGGUGAGGUAAAGGCUCACCUAGGCGACGAUCAGUAGCGGGUCUGAGAGGAUGAUCCGCCACACUGGGACUGAGACACGGCCCAGACUCCUACGGGAGGCAGCAGUGGGGAAUUUUGGACAAUGGGCGAAAGCCUGAUCCAGCCAUGCCGCGUGUCUGAAGAAGGCCUUCGGGUUGUAAAGGACUUUUGUCAGGGAGGAAAUCCCUAGUGCUAAUAACACUGGGGGAUGACAGUACCUGAAGAAUAAGCACCGGCUAACUACGUGCCAGCAGCCGCCGUAA
rnacentral:rRNA from 1 species